rnacentral:lncRNA from 1 species
CUGACACUUGUCUCGAAAAUUUAGUUGGGAAGAACAAUUUUCCUGAAAAGACAACUAUAUAUGAAAGCCUACAAUGCAAGUAAUUUUCUCUUGAUCAUCUGCUUUGAUUUCCAGACUAACAGAAGAUUGAGAUGGAAGGCUUUUUAUAAAGGAAAAUUUGGAUAUGAAUACAGUGAUGAUUCUGCCAGAGGUAACGAAAUGACACGUGGCUUGGAGUUAAUGUUUGAAGUCCAAGAUAAGCACAGCUCAUAAACAGAGAGACUGCUCCAGUCCUUGUAACUGCUACAUGAGUACAAACGUGCUCCAAAUAGACACUGUACAUUCAUAGUGAUGUGUAACAGUCACCCAGAUUAUCGGAUUGGAUUCUUUACUAAAGGAAGCCGAGCUUCUUAUUUCAGGCUGUGUACAUGCCCAGUGGCUCUAGGUGGACAGUGAAACUGAAACUGAAGUUAUCAGGCUCAAGCCUUCAUUAUUGUGUCCUUUCUUCUUGGUAUGAACGUAAGUUAUUGCGUUUUGUGCAAAUUGGCAGAACAUUUUUGUUUGUUUGUUUUUGGUAAAAAUCUGUAAAAAAUGAUUUGGUAAACUAACCUGAAGGGAAUGAACUGAAAAACAUGCUGCUGGCUAGGUUCUGAAUAGUAAAAAGAACAAAAAAAUGAACACGAAAAGCAUCUCGCAGUAGUUGCUGCCUGAAUA